UGGGGAAUCUUCCGCAAUGGACGAAAGUCUGACGGAGCAACGCCGCGUGAGUGAUGACGGCCUUCGGGUUGUAAAGCUCUGUUAAUCGGGACGAAUGGUUCUUGUGCGAAUAGUGCAAGGAUUUGACGGUACCGGAAUAGAAAGCCACGGCUAACUACGUGCCAGCAGCCGCGGUAAUACGUAGGUGGCAAGCGUUGUCCGGAAUUAUUGGGCGUAAAGCGCGCGCAGGUGGAUUGGUCAGUCUGUCUUAAAAGUUCGGGGCUUAACCCCGUGAUGGGAUGGAAAAUGCCAAUCUAGAGUAUCGGAGAGGAAAGUGGAAUUCCUAGUGUAGCGGUGAAAUGCGUAGAUAUUAGGAAGAACACCAGUGGCGAAGGCGACUUUCUGGACGAAAACUGACGCUGAGGCGCGAAAGCCAGGGGAGCGAACGGG
rnacentral:rRNA from 1 species